ensembl:lncRNA
UCUUCAUCCAUUUCUUAGUUGGUGGAUGCACAUCAGCCAUUGGAUGGCUGUUGGUGGCUGUGGGUGCCCUGUGGUUCUUUAUGUGAUGUCUGUGUCUCUCCGUCAGCUCUCCUACUUGGGUGCCAGCAGCUGAGAGUGGUUUAUCCUUUCAGUACACUCCAUUGUUUUUAUAUAUUCAUGGCAGAGGAUGCAGCCAAGGUUACAAAGGUCAGCUUUGGAGGUCGCUGCUGCUGCUACUGCUAAGUCACUUCAGUCAUGUCUGACUCUGUGCGACCCCAUAGACGGCAGCCCACCAGGCAGAUGCUAGCAAAUAAUAUUUUUGCAUAGCUACUCAUCAUCAUAAUGAAAGUUAUUUUUCUCUUACCAGAGUUAUUUUUCAACAAUCAAAUGAAAGAACACAUCUAGCAUUGUGGCCAGUUUACUCUUUUAUCCAUGUUACUUUGCUGCCUGAGUCAUUGCACAUUGUUUAUCCAGAACUCACAGCUUUUAUAUGCUGUUCUGCAAAUAAUGAUGGACUGUGUCAUAUUUGGGAGAAAUGUAUUAGUUGUAAACUGAAUUAUUUAGGGGGUUAAAAAACAAUUUAGACAACUUUUAAUUGAAGAAUUUAGGAUUAAGGCUUAUGAUCAUAUUAUGACUUGUGGCAGUGUACAGUUUUGUGCAAUGUCAUUUUGACAGGUGAAGACAGAAAAUGAAAGCAUUAUCUACAACCAUAUUUCUUCAGUGUGAUAAGUUCCUAGGGCAUUCAAGGAUUAUUACUAUUUUUUAAAUGUGCUUGCCGCUUGCCAUUCUGCUACCGAAAACAAGCUAGUCAGAGGAGGCUAAAUGUUAGAGGACAUCUCUGGGAACUCUCAUUUGGAAUCACUUGUGACAAAGCAUUCUUGACUUCUUUUUUACUACUUCCUUCUCUGCUUUCCAACCAAACCAAUUUCUGUUGAAAGAGCUGGACUAUUUUUUUCAAACCAGAUAUACUUCUUACUGCCAAAUGUAUAGUGGAAAAAUUAAAUUAGGCUGGUAAUUUAUCUUAAUCAUUCAAGAACAUCUAGCUAUUAAUGGAAGUCAGUGC